GAUGAACGCUGGCGGCGUGCCUAAUACAUGCAAGUCGAGCGAACAGACGAGGAGCUUGCUCCUCUGAUGUUAGCGGCGGACGGGUGAGUAACACGUGGAUAACCUACCUAUAAGACUGGGAUAACUUCGGGAAACCGGAGCUAAUACCGGAUAACAUGUUGAAACGCAUGGUUCAACAGUGAAAGACGGUCUUGCUGUCACUUAUAGAUGGAUCCGCGCCGCAUUAGCUAGUUGGUAAGGUAACGGCUUACCAAGGCAACCAUGCGUAGCCGACCUGAGAGGGUGAUCGGCCAAACUGGAACUGGGACACGGUCCAGACUCCUACGGGAGGCAGCAGUAGGGAAUCUUCCGCAAUGGGCGAAAGCCUGACGGAGCAACGCCGCGUGAGUGAAGAAGGUCUUCGGAUCGUAAAACUCUGUUAUUAGGGAAGAACAAAUGUGUAAGUAACUAUGCACGUCUUGACGGUACCUAAUCAGAAAGCCACGGCUAACUACGUG
rnacentral:rRNA from 1 species